GCCCUUCGGGGUGGAUUAGUGGCGAACGGGUGAGUAACACGUGGGCAAUCUGCCCUUCACUCUGGGACAAGCCCUGGAAACGGGGUCUAAUACCGGAUAACACUCUGUCCCGCAUGGGACGGGGUUAAAAGCUCCGGCGGUGAAGGAUGAGCCCGCGGCCUAUCAGCUUGUUGGUGGGGUAAUGGCCUACCAAGGCGACGACGGGUAGCCGGCCUGAGAGGGCGACCGGCCACACUGGGACUGAGACACGGCCCAGACUCCUACGGGAGGCAGCAGUGGGGAAUAUUGCACAAUGGGCGAAAGCCUGAUGCAGCGACGCCGCGUGAGGGAUGACGGCCUUCGGGUUGUAAACCUCUUUCAGCAGGGAAGAAGCGAAAGUGACGGUACCUGCAGAAGAAGCGCCGGCUAACUACGUGCCAGCAGCCGCGGUAAUACGUAGGGCGCAAGCGUUGUCCGGAAUUAUUGGGCGUAAAGAGCUCGUAGGCGGCUUGUCACGUCGGAUGUGAAAGCCCGGGGCUUAACCCCGGGUCUGCAUUCGAUACGGGCUAGCUAGAGUGUGGUAGGGGAGAUCGGAAUUCCUGGUGUAGCGGUGAAAUGCGCAGAUAUCA
rnacentral:rRNA from 1 species